rnacentral:rRNA from 1 species
UACGUAGGCAGCGAGCGUUGUUCGGAGUUACUGGGCGUAAAGGGUGUGUAGGCGGUUGUUUAAGUUUGGUGUGAAAUCUCCCGGCUCAACUGGGAGGGUGCGCCGAAUACUGAGUGACUAGAGUGCGGGAGAGGAAAGUGGAAUUCCUGGUGUAGCGGUGAAAUGCGUAGAUAUCAGGAGGAACACCGGUGGUGUAGACGGCUUUCUGGACCGUAACUGACGCUGAAACACGAAAGCGUGGGUAGCAAACAGG